UAGAUUAGUUUUCUGCUCCUGAAAUCAUCAGAAAGGUGUUUCCUUAUAUAUUUUUUGCCUGCAAAAUCAAGUCUUCAAGUGGGUUGAAGAUCUCUUCUCCUAGUCUCGAGUUAUCACGGACAGAGAAACUGGGAGGUCAAUGGGC